rnacentral:rRNA from 1 species
GGGCUUGACAUCCCACGAACCUGGUGGAAACACUGGGGUGCCCUCGCAAGAGGGAGCCGGGAGACAGGUGCUGCAUGGCUGUCGUCAGCUCGUGUCGUGAGAUGUUCGGUUAAGUCCGGCAACGAGCGCAACCCUUGCUUCCAGUUGCCAUCAUUUAGUUGGGAACUCUGGAGGAACUGCCAGCGUCAAGCUGGAGGAAGGCG